ACGUGAUCUGAGUUCAGACCGGAGUAAUCCAGGUCGGUUUCUAUCUAUACCAAAGCUUACUCUAGUACGAAAGGACCGAAAAAGCAUGGUCCCUGCUUUAACCACACCAUCAUUAAAAAUUUUUGCCCACAACUCAAUCAAUUAUUAACCUACCACAUUUUUCAAGAUCAGGAU
rnacentral:rRNA from 1 species